ACAGAUGUAGUACUCUAAAAAAGGAUUGCCAGAUAGGAGUGAGCUACUGUCAUACUUCGUUAACACUUCGUUUCCGAAGUGCUCCUUCUUACACUUAAAAUACUCAGCUUUCGGCUAGACUAGUUCUUUCUGCUACCGACCAUCAUUGGGUGAUUAGUGCGCGUCGUGUCCCAUAAAGUUUAGUUAAAGUUGAAGAUAGGGGAAAAGUAUAUAAACCGAUCCAGGCAGAAGUGCAGGAGAAAAGAGUUACAGAUCAAAAUUCGAUAGGUUAGAUUCCCCACGUGUCAACCGAAAGAAAAGCUAUUGUUUGAUUGUUAACUGUAAGAAAAAGGUCCUAGUGGGCCUUUUUCUUUCUUAUUGCUUUGCGAAAAGCGAUCGUUUGUUGUAUUCCCAGAUCGAGGAUCGGAUCCUUCCUCAUUCAGCGCACUCUCACACCGAAGUCUCCUAAGGUGCAACCCUACAACGUCAAUGUCGAGCAGAGAUCUGAAGGAAGAGGUCCGAAAGUGAAGCCCCGCCCGCAACGACUACCAUUGCGAUUUGACGGUUGACGGUUUGACAAACUGCCAAAUCGGUUCGUCAAACAGCAUUACACACGGUCAAACACAGCCCCAACUCAACCACCAACCUGGGGGCGGAGUUAAGGACAAACGUCUUAAAAUCCCGCUUCAAGAGUGCAUGAGAACUUAAAACGCACAAAUCUCAAGAAGCAAGCUUCAAACAACAGUGCAUUUUAUUAUUCUACUCUUGCUCACUUGUAAUAAGCUUAAAAUAAGAAGAUCAAAUUCGCUGGUUUUGUUUACGAAGAGAUUUGUGCCCUCGAAAUCGUGAGUAGGUGCCAAAGUCGGCCAUUGUGGCGGCCAUCUUGGGAUUCUAACAAGUCUGUCCUUAAUGUUGGUCAAACCGUUUGAGUAGUGUGUAGGGUGCCUAACGCUUGCUUGCAGAUUCAGUUUCCGCCCCAGCGUAGAGUGUGGUCGACCCACCUUUACUUUCGUCCUUUCGCUCUCGAAUUUCUGUUGCUAUCGGCUUUUGAUGACAUCGACGAUGGAGCCAACAAUCAAUACGAAACAUGAAAUUCGCCCGUGACUCCAGUUUCAUCAAUUUUCAAUGACAACAACAAUAAUGUUUUACAUUCGUUCGUUCAAAAUGUCAUCCACAAUAGGUUGGUACGUGGGUUGGUAUCUUAAACUUUGCUACAGACACCGCAAAGAAAAAAACUUUGAAAUUUCAUCAUUCUUUUAAUGCACAUUUAAAUUUCAGCUUUCGUCAAUAUUACCGUAACUGAAUCUUCUACUGCUCCGAGGGGUUCCCAUGGGAGACUUUGUGCCCAAGAGCGAGCCCGAUAGUAAAUCACAUCGUCCCUGAUGGCUUGCCCUAUGCCUCUAUGCAUCAAGCAGCAGGUCGAUUCCGCGCGGCUUUUGGGAUGAACUCGAAAUGCCUUUUUGACCCCUAGGUCUUCGGGCGUUUAUUCCUAAUAUAGGAAAGGUGGAUACAAAAUACACUGCAUAAAGUAAAUUGUAUUCAUCCAGGCAGGGUUUGGGCGAGAAAGAAAGAUGAUGGAAGAGGUGCCUGGGUCGGAGAUGAGGGUGGAUCCUCAUGAAUCGAUAAGAUGCUGAGGUGGUUGUUGGUGACAAAUUCGUUGGAUGGCAAAUAGAAUGGCUAACCACUUAUCCGCGAGCGGUAAUGGUGGACAUAUCUGAGCGGUUUGAAUUUAGAGUUUCUUGAGGACCGCAAACGAUUGGCGCCAUCUAAACGUAGACGAAUGAGUGAGGAGGGGAACGAAACCGCUUCUAUUAUCCCCCAAGACACGCAACUACCUUGUACCCACUGUGAUAUCUGGUCAAUUCGGAGUUUAAUUAAAACGGUAGAGGAUGGAUUUUCCAUUAUUAUUCUUUAUAUUCACCAACUGUCACUCCGUUGUGUCCUCGCAAUUUACUCUCACUACGCCACCUAUCUCAAGGCCUCCUAUGUCGUAUCUCGAUAUCACAUUCCCCCCUUACUUAAUAUUUUAAUUUAACAUGUAAUGGUCAUAAUGAAUACCUAAACCUUUCUUAUGUAUUUUAUACUUAUGUGCGCAUGUGACUAAUGUAACAAAACAAAACCAAAUUCUUCAGACUCGCACAUUCACGAUUUUUUAUAAUUUCUUGCUCGACGACUCCUCUUCCUAAUAUAACAUAUGCACCAUCACGCCAGAACUGGAUAUAUUGUGAUACUUCAUUUUCCUUUAUCCAAGGCUGACACCAUUUCUUGCACCAUGUUAGGCUGCACGUUUGUUGGCAUCUUUGUGGAAAGCUAAGAUCUAGUUGUAAGGUUUUUUUUUAAACACUGCUCCCUCCCAAAUUAAGUAAGGCAACAUUUCUAAUAAAACAAUUCUUAGAUAUUACACAUAGACUUUAUACUCCCAUAGUCAUAACACUCCGAGUAACUACCAAAAAAUCGUACCAACGUGUUUUUGUUUGGAUGUUUGAGAAUGUUGUGCGUUCAGUGGCUGUAAUUCGACUUAAAUACUCAGAUAUCGAGAAAGAUUGUAAUUUUGGGGUACUUCUGAAGUAUUCUGGGUAAAUUAUCUAAAUUUUCUGGAAAAUGUAUCCUAAGCUUUUUCAGUAGAUGUAAAUGGGAGACAACCUUCUAUAACAAAAUAAUGGCCUAUAAUGUUUCAUUCUGAACUAGCUGUUCUGGCAAACGUCGUUCUGCCCACCUACUGUGUUUUUCAGAUGCACUUACAUAUAUUUAGAAAAAUACCUCGCAUAAUGGAUUUUCAAACUUUUUGUUAUCGGUGCGUUUGCGGUCGAUUUUCCCAUUUUUUUUCGUACGAACCCGUCGGAGCCCUGCAUGAAUGAAACACUGAAAGAAUCAUGUAGAUCAAUUUCAAUGGUAGAAGUUCAUUAACAUUCUUAAAUUAUCUAACCAUCGUCAAACUGUCCCUGUCUAGGUUUAUAAUGACCUCAUGCACGAUUUCUAUAAAAACAUUAGAUUUUUUUAAUGAAAUGAACUUGACAUACUGGUCGAUAUUCACCCAGCAUUACUUUGGAGAAUAAAGCAGAACAUAUGCAAUUCCCAGUAAAAAAUCUUUUAUUUAUAUAUGAAUGAAAUCUGAUUUGAUUAACUUUUUAAUAGUAUUGUGCUGUAUCUACAAUGAAAAAACAAAAAUAACUCUCUAGCAAAUAAAACAAAUACAUUCAUAAAUCGAUCGGUUCACGGAUGAAUAAAUACGAUAUUCCUACGCAGUAAAUAGGUUUUUUUUUACUGAUACCGUUUCAGAAACAAAUAGCAAUAUGGCAACAAUAAUAUGUCAUAAAGUUUCAAAUGUAAUUGUACCGCAAUCUUAUCUGAACAUUCUCAUUUAACCCUCCUAGAAUAUUGUUGUCAAAGAUGUUUUUUUUUUCUGAAUAAACACAGGCAAUAUAUAUUUUUUUUAUUGAUCAAAGAAAGAUAAUAUAACCUUUCCAUCGACAAAUCUGAUUAACCUUAUCUUUUGUGCAUACUACCACGUCACUUUCAAAAACCUACAGUGUUGAUUGGUGCUCCCUUAUGAAAAUUUGAAUAGUAAGUAUCAGCCUAUUCCAAAACAGCUUAAGUCGAAAAUCGAUUUUACCUUUGAUGUUAUGAAAAGCUCUUAACUUAAAUAACGGAUUAUGACUUGAGAGAUUUUUGCAAUUGUAAUAUUUUUUUUUUUAGUAAAUCUCUUCUGUGUAAAAUUUAAAUUUUAUAACAACAAUACAUUAAUUUCCUUUAUGUAUAAAGCUUUAUUUUUUUGAUACACUCAUUCUCAAAAUAAAUCAACACAUAUCGAUGUUCCUUACUUUCGAUAAAGUUUUUUUUAAACUCUUUUUAUUCAUGAAUUUUUACUUAACAUCUAUCUCUGCACACUUUGAUGAAAAGUGUUUUAUCUGUUACCGUAUAUGCAUUAUGCAAUAAUUAGAAUUGCCACCUUUUUUUCAACAUUGCACCUUUUUAUGUAAACAACGGAACUUGCCUAGCAUUUAUGUGUGAAAUAAGAAAUGAAAAUUUCCAAAUAACUUUUUAACUAAGCUGUUAUCGCAGAUUCAAGAUAUCGAUCAAUAAAUCAGCCUACAUUAAUAACAGUUGUAACAAACUCAAACUAUUAUGACGAUAAUAGGCGUCUUGAAAAUUUUGUUUUCAUACAUUCAUGAUAACACCAACUAUUUGAAUAGAAUUAUUAAAUAUAUAUAUGUACGCUUAGAUUUCAUCGUUUUUUUUAAGGGAUUCGUGUUUGUUUUCUUAUUAAAAUAACGUCUUCAAUAAUCCUGGCAGAACAUCUUACCUCAAUAUUAGCUUUUCUAGUAAUUAAAGCAUAAUUCUUUUGGGAGCAUAAUGAAAUCCACUUUUUUUUUAAACGAUUAGUUUUUCCAAUAAACAACGUAACCAACUAACGAACCCGUUUUUAAGUUUUAAUGGGAUCGUUUUUUUUUUGACGAAAACUCACUUCUUAAAAUGUUGUUUUAAAAAAAAACAGUUUCGCAAUAAUUUGAUGAAAUCCGACAUAAAGUGUUGACUAACACCAUUUCCUCAAAACAUCACCUGAUUUCCCUCCUUAAAGCAAUAAUAAACUUAGCAUUCCAACCUGGACAAUAUCGACUCUAAAUUUAUAAAUUGUAUUAUUACGUACUAAUACCUUUUCACAGUGUUGACAAACCACCAUUUCAUUGAUUUGACGAAAUUCGCCUUCUGAAAAGUAAUGAGAUAAUCGCCUUCUUACAAUGUUAAUGAAAAACUGCUGUUUGUAAGUUCUGAUGAAAGUUGCCUUCUCAUAGUGUUGAAGGAACCACCAUUUUAUGAUUUGACGAACCGACUUCUCAGUUUUGACAAAACCCGCCUUCUAACUGAUUUAACGAAAGCCGCUUUCUCAAAGUUUUUGACGAAACCCGCCUUCUUAUUGAUUUGACGAAACCAAGGACGAACCCGCCUUCUCACAGCCUUGACGAAAACCGCUUUCUCAUUUAUUUGACGAAAAUGGCCUUGGCGAAACCGCCUUCUGAAAAUAUUGACGAAACCGCCAUCUCAUUGAUUUGACAAAAACCGUCUUCUUACAGUUUUACGAAAACCGCCUUCUAAUUGGUUUGACGAAAGUCGCCUUGGCGAAAUCGCCUUCUGAAAAUAUUGACGAAACCGCCAUCUCAUUGAUUUGACGAAAACCGUCUUUUCACGGUUUUGACGAAAACCGCCUUCUUAUUGAUAUGACGAAAACCGCCUUCUCAGUUUUGACGAAAUCCGCUUACUUAUAGGUUUGACGAAAACCGCCUUCUCACAGUUGUUACGCAGACCGCCUUCUAAUUGAUUUGACAAAAAACCGCCUUCUGAAAAUAUUGACGAGACCGCCUUCUCCUCCUCCUCUCUCUCCUCUUCUUGGCGUAACGUCCUCCUGGGACAAAGCCUGCUUCUCAGCUUAGUGUUCUAUGAGCACUUCCACAGUUAUUAACUGAGAGCUUUCUCUGCCAAUGACCAUUUUGCAUGUGUAUAUCGUGUGGCAGGCACGAAGAUACUCUAUGCCCAAGGAAGUCAAGGAAAUUUCCUUUACGAAAAGAUCCUGGACCGACCGGGAAUCGAACCCGUCACCCUCAGCAUGGUCAUGCUGAAUACCCGUGCAUUUACCGCCUCGGCUAUAUGGGCCCCUUCUCAUAGUGUUGACGAAACCGUCUUCUUGACGAAAACCGCCUACUGAAAAUAUUGACGAAACUGUCAUCUCAUUGAUUUGACGAAAACCGCCUUCUCACAGUAUUGACGAAAACCGUUUUCUAAUUGAUUAGACGAAAACCGCCUUCUGAAAAUAUUGACGAAACCGCCAUCUCAUUGAUUUGACGAAAACCGCCUUCUCACAGUUUUGACGAAAACCGCCUUCUUAUUGAUUUGACAAAAAAACCGUCUUCUAGAAAUAUUGACGAAACCGCCAUCUCAUCGAUUUGACGAAAACCGCCUUCUCAUAGUUUUGACGAAAACCGUUUUCUAAUUGAUUUAACGAAAACCGCCUUCUCAAAAUAUUGACGAAACCGCCAUCUCAUUAAUUUGACGAAAACCGCCUUCUCACAGUUUUGACGAAAACCGCCUUCUUAUUGAUUUGACGAAAACCGCCUUCUACAAAUAUUGACGAAACCGCCAUCUCAUUGAUUUGACGAAAACCGCCUUCUCACAGUUUUUUUUAGGAAUUCCGCAUUCUCAUUGAUUUCACGAAAACCCCUUUUGAAAAUUUUGACGCAACUACCUUCUCAUAUUGUUAGCGGAACCCGCUUUCUAGUGUACGAAAACCACCUUACGAUUUUAUUAAACGAAAACCAGCUUCUCACAGUAUUAACGAAAUCUCUUUCUCCGGGGUUUUCUCAGUGUUAAGCACUGUUUGCAGAUCAGAUGAAAUUUCUCGGCCUAUCUUGAUGCAUGGGGAAUUCCUUGCCUGAAUAGCUCAAGAAAUCCAUUUUCUUCGAUCGCAGUAUGCACUUGCGAAGAAAUGACAGUCACUGUAGGAAGUUUCUGCCAGAAAUCGAUUAAGAAAUUUCUUGAGCAAAUCCUCCUAUACACGAAACUGGGCUUUAGCGAUAACCGCCCUCUUAAAGUAUAGAAGAAACCGCCUGUUGGCAAAAUAAGUCGUGAAUCGAACCUGCCAUGUCCGAGUUAACGAUUCAAAGGCAUAUUCAUUAGUCUGAUUGAAGACUUUUCCUUUUCUCUGUUAAUUUAAAUUAUGUCUUAGGUAUUCUAGAUCAUAUGUAUCUUCUUCUUUUUAAAUAAAAUUACAAUUAUUCUGGAAACAGAGUUUGUUAUUCUGCCUAGUGAUACACAAUCAAUUAAACCAGCAACUUUAUCUUCAAAUAAAAAAAAUGUUGCAAUAAGGGUAAUGGAGGCUCUUGCCUCAUUUACAAUUGAAAAUGUUUCUUAUUGUGUAAAACGCAUCAUUUGUCUAACAAAGUAAUAUGCAAUUUUGAACUUUUUGUCGAUAGACCAAACCGUAUGGAUUUACAAAUGCCGAGGUAUUGUAACUACUCAAAUGAUUAUAAUCAACAUUGCCACAGUUCUGACGGCCAUCCAACUAUGUCACUUGCACUUCGGUAAACCGUUUGGUGCUAGUAUCGAAAAGAAAUAAAAAUCUCUCCGUACGCUGGUCAUAGCAGGUCUAACGCGCAUCACCAAUCUUUGAAAACAAUGCUUCUUAUACAUACCUCUGUGAAACUGAUGUUUUAAUACAAACAUUACCAGCAAUUGUCAUAAAUUGCUGGUUGAUUUUUUGCGGCGAUCUUCCAGCAUACAUUGCACACUUUCCCACCUUUCUUCCUACACAACUGUUGUUUGCAGUGCAGAUCACUUCCCGCAAUUUUCUUCCCUUCACAUUUGAACUUCAAAAAAACACAGUACUUUUAUGCUCUUCAAUUUUCUCUGUUUUAAUUCUCGUCGCCAAUGUGAUAUCUGGUCAAUUCGGAGUUUAAUUAAAACGGUAGAGGAUGGAUUUUCCAUUAUUAUUCUUUAUAUUCACCAACUGUCACUCCGUUGUGUCCUCGCAAUUUACUCUCACUACGCCACCUAUCUCAAGGCCUCCUAUGUCGUAUCUCGAUAUCACACCCACUACCGCCAUUACCACGCACGGAUAAGUCGAUAGAGAGACUUAAUGACGGUCCUGUACAUAGAUCUACUAAUACUGUAUUAAAAAUAUUUGGUUUUCCACCUAGAACACGCACAUAGGAAUACGCCAUAUUCCAAGAAUCUGAUGAAUGAGACAGCACUCACAUCGAAUCUGGGAGAGAAAGGGCUAUUAUCAGGCCGGUAGCGAACAGUGGUUCGACUGGGCAUAGCUCGGACGAACUUCGACUGAACUAUUGAAAACCCGUAGAGUAAUGCGGGGCAAAAGUUCGCACGGGGCAAAAGUUCGCAGUGGGUCUUUUUCUGAGCACGAGUUAAGAACCCAAACAAAUCUGUAUGGGUUCGACACAUAAUCAGGCCAGCUACUCGUCAAUAAAAUUUGGAACGAUUUCGUUAUGGUUUGGCAGAGUUAUGUGAAAAAAUGUGUUUCUAGAGGUUUUGAUAGAAUUUUUGGACCUUUUGGAAUACGAAUUUUUAGUUACAGGAAGAAGAAGAAUCUCAUAACCUCUUUAUGUCGGAGAAUCGUUGUUCCAUAGUAGUUGGCGAGGUGCACUCGAAUAAACAAUAAACUACUAGUGCUUCUUACAGAAAGGGACAUUGUUAAAACCUCGACAGUGGGGCAAAAGUUCGCACUAGAUUUCUGAGUCAAGUACAUCAAUAUAAUUACAGAAUCUUUGAAACAAUGAUAGUUUCGUAUAGAAACUGCUAUAUAUGCAUAAUAUAAGUAGUCUGCACCCUGAAAUCGUUGCGACAGAGGAUCUAAACUUAGUUUUGUAAGAAGAUUGAUUGUGAAGCAAACAUUAUGUUCACGCAUUUAAAUCAAUAAAUGAAAAAUGGCUAAAAAUAACAUUUUAAAACA